GCUGCUCCUACCUGGAUCCUCAGAGCUGGGGCUUUCCACUGUCUUCUGUGCAGCUGCUGGUUUUACAGGCGUUACCAUACAUGCUGACGUCUAGGUAGAGGGGUGAAGAACCCAGUGAGUAACCGGCUUGACUUCUCCAGACUGAACCCAGUAUGUGGUGUCUUCAGUGACGGGGCCUUACUGUCAAGCUCUGGAUGGUAGCAAAGGAUAUGUCUGUGCAGCAAAGUGCAUGCCUGGUGCCUGUGGAGGCCAGAAAAUGGCAGCUGUUAUCCUAAAACUGAAGUUGAGACAGUUGUGAAGUGCCAGGGGCUCGGUCUUAUGUGGAGAUCCUCGAUCCCUCUAGAGGCUGUGCAGGAUAAGGAGUAAGAAUCACAUUUCAUGUGAGUAUCCGAUCCGACCACUGUUUACUGGUGAUGCUGUAUUGCUUAAAGGUGUAGUUCUGGCUUUAUGAAAAAAAAAAAUCAGGCAGUCGUAGCUAUGUGGACUUAUGUUUGGGUGUUCAUUUCUACUCCAUUGAUAAAUAUGUCUGUUUUAUGCCAGUACCAUGCUGUUGAUAUUAUUGUUUUGUAAUAUAACUUAAAAAUCAGGAUGGUUCAUAUUUUUGUGUGAUGUGUAUAUGCAAACACGUGGAAGCCAUCAGUUAGCAUUUUCCUGACAUUUUUUGAAGCAAGAUCUUAAACUGAACCUGUAGCCCACUCUUUGUCUAGUCUGGCUGACCAGGAAACCAGAGAGCUUGUUGUGUGUGCAUGACCGUGCCCCGGUGCUGCUGCUAUAGACAUGCACGGCCACAAACAGCAUCCAUGUGGGCGAGGGGUCUCAGACCCUUGUGUCUGCAGAGUGAGUAUGUCACUGCUCAUCUCUCCAACCCCUCUCGUGUGCCUUACUGGCCAUUUUAACAUCUCUUCUGAAAAAGUAUAUAUAUAUAUAUUUUUUUUUAAUUGGUUGAUUGGCUGGUUUGGUUUUCAAGACAGGAUUUGUGGGGGUGGGGGGUGGGUGUGGGGCUGACUGUCCUGGAACUAGUUCUGUAGACCAAGCUGGCCUCAAAUUGACAGAGAUCCACCUGCCUCUGCAUCCGAAGUGCAGGGAUUAAAGGUGUGCAGCAUCACUCUCAGCCUUAAUUGU
rnacentral:lncRNA from 1 species